ACGCUCUUAGUUCAGUCCGGUAGAACGCAGGUCUCCAAAACCUGAUGUCGUAGGUUCGAAUCCUAUAGAGCGUG
rnacentral:tRNA from 1 species